rnacentral:rRNA from 1 species
GACAGAGGGUGCAAACGUUGCUCGGAAUUACUGGGCGUAAAGCGCGUGUAGGCGGACUGGUGUGUCGGAUGUGAAAUCCCCAGGCUCAACCUGGGAACUGCAUUCGAAACUGCCAGCCUUGAGUGGUGGAGAGGGAAGUGUAAUUCCUGGUGUAGAGGUGAAAUUCGUAGAUAUCAGGAGGAACACCAGUGGCGAAGGCGGCUUCCUGGACACCAACUGACGCUGAGACGCGAAAGCGUGGGGAGCAAACAGG